rnacentral:rRNA from 2 species
CAAGUCGAACGAGUUCUCGUUGAUGAUCGGUGCUUGCACCGAGAUUCAACAUGGAACGAGUGGCGGACGGGUGAGUAACACGUGGGUAACCUGCCCUUAAGUGGGGGAUAACAUUUGGAAACAGAUGCUAAUACCGCAUAGAUCCAAGAACCGCAUGGUUCUUGGCUGAAAGAUGGCGUAAGCUAUCGCUUUUGGAUGGACCCGCGGCGUAUUAGCUAGUUGGUGAGGUAAUGGCUCACCAAGGCGAUGAUACGUAGCCGAACUGAGAGGUUGAUCGGCCACAUUGGGACUGAGACACGGCCCAAACUCCUACGGGAGGCAGCAGUAGGGAAUCUUCCACAAUGGACGCAAGUCUGAUGGAGCAACGCCGCGUGAGUGAAGAAGGCUUUCGGGUCGUAAAACUCUGUUGUUGGAGAAGAAUGGUCGGCAGAGUAACUGUUGUCGGCGUGACGGUAUCCAACCAGAAAGCCACGGCUAACUACGUGCCAGCAGCCGCGGUAAUACGUAGGUGGCAAGCGUUAUCCGGAUUUAUUGGGCGUAAAGCGAGCGCAGGCGGUUUUUUAAGUCUGAUGUGAAAGCCCUCGGCUUAACCGAGGAAGCGCAUCGGAAACUGGGAAACUUGAGUGCAGAAGAGGACAGUGGAACUCCAUGUGUAGCGGUGAAAUGCGUAGAUAUAUGGAAGAACACCAGUGGCGAAGGCGGCUGUCUGGUCUGUAACUGACGCUGAGGCUCGAAAGCAUGGGUAGCGAACAGGAUUAGAUACCCUGGUAGUCCAUGCCGUAAACGAUGAAUGCUAGGUGUUGGAGGGUUUCCGCCCUUCAGUGCCGCAGCUAACGCAUUAAGCAUUCCGCCUGGGGAGUACGACCGC